UUAGCCCUUCCCUGCUAUGUCUGUGUAGGGUUUGGGACUUAAAAGGAGGAAAAGGCAUCAGAAAUGGAAGUCCCUGGGCAAAGCUACCAGUGGAGGGGGCAAGAAGGCAGCUAGGAUUGAUUGACUGAAUUAUUGGAUGUGAGGAAAAGAAGAUAAAGAAAGGACUAAAUCCUGCACUCUUCAUUCUGUCACUACCUAAGGAAACCUCUUGAAGACAAUAGUGACCAGGUUUUCAAAAGCUCAGUGGGCUGGGUGCUGAGCUGUGCUGAAAAUGUGACCACAUGACUCUCAACGGGAUGCUGAGCGCUUUUGAAAAGCUGGCCCUUCUUUGUUGCCAAAAUGGGAGCCCAGUGCUCUUGAAAAUCUGACCUCUUGAGUUUUGCACGAGUAAAGACUGCAAAAGUAGGCCAAGGGCACCUCUAUACUGCUGGGGCAGUAUCUACACUUUAC